rnacentral:rRNA from 1 species
UUGAAAGGGAAACGAUUGAAGUCAGUCAUGCCGGUGGGAAUCCAGUUAGGGGAACCCCAAAGGUCUUUUCUUCGCUCGUCAGUUCAACGUCGAUUUUUAAUGUCAUAAAAUAAUUGGGGGAAGAAGGAUCCUUCUGGAGUCUGAUAGUCCAUGACAGAUGAAAUGGAGGGGUCGAGGAUUGCAACGGAUGCCCUCAGGGGCUAGCGACCUGAUCUCUAAUCGGUGUUGGGUUACGGAUAGCAUGCUGACCGUCAUCUAAUGACUGUUAAAAGGCUAGAGCGCGCAUAAAUUCGUUAAGGAUGUUGACGUA